AUGUUGCCCUCUAUGGCGUCUUCAACAGGCUGUGAUAGUCGUUGUUCAUCGACUAUUUUCGCGGCUUCUGUCUGUGGUGGUGGUGCCUGCUCUACACCGACUUCCCUCGCCGCCUUCGCGCGCAUCGGUGACCGCUCUACGUCGACUUGCUCUUCUCAGUCGACUCUACACACGGCUUUCACGGGUGGUGGCGACCGCUUUUCGUCAGCAGAUGGUUCUACCUCGACGUCUGCCACUUUGUCUCUAUCUGUGCAUGAGAUUGUGCAACUCCGAUGCCUUCUUGAUACUUGGGAUUCUUCGCUGAUAGGUUCUGCGGGUUCUGCGCCUGAGUUUUCGGGCAAUGAGAAACCACCUUCUACUCAUUCAGGUACAUCCUCAUGA
rnacentral:rRNA from 1 species